rnacentral:rRNA from 1 species
UACGUAGGGGGCUAGCGUUGUCCGGAAUCAUUGGGCGUAAAGAGCGUGUAGGCGGCCCGGUAAGUCCGCUGUGAAAGUCGGGGGCCCAACCCUCGGAUGCCGGUGGAUACUGUCGGGCUCGAGUACGGAAGAGGCGAGUGGAAUUCCUGGUGUAGCGGUGAAAUUCGUAGAUAUUGGGAAGAACACCGGUGGCGAAGGCGACCAUCUGGACGACAACUGACGCUGAGGCGCGAAAGCGUGGGGAGCAAACAGG